rnacentral:rRNA from 1 species
CAGUCGCCGCGGUAAUACGUAGGGUGCAAGCGUUAAUCGGAAUUACUGGGCGUAAAGCGUGCGCAGGCGGUUUGUUAAGACAGAUGUGAAAUCCCCGGGCUCAACCUGGGAACUGCAUCUGUGACUGCAUCGCUGGAGUGCGGCAGAGGGGGAUGGAAUUCCGCGUGUAGCAGUGAAAUGCGUAGAUAUGCGGAGGAACACCGAUGGCGAAGGCAAUCCCCUGGGCCUGCACUGACGCUCAUGCACGAAAGCGUGGGGAGCAAACAGGAUUAGAGACCCGAGUAGUCCCUGUCUCUUAUAC